UACGAAGGGGGCUAGCGUUGUUCGGAUUUACUGGGCGUAAAGCGCACGUAGGCGGAUCUUUAAGUCAGAGGUGAAAUCCCAAGGCUCAACCUUGGAACUGCCUUUGAUACUGGGGAUCUUGAGUCCGGGAGAGGUGAGUGGAACUGCGAGUGUAGAGGUGAAAUUCGUAGAUAUUCGCAAGAACACCAGUGGCGAAGGCGGCUCACUGGCCCGGUACUGACGCUGAGGUGCGAAAGCUAGGGUAGCAAACGGG
rnacentral:rRNA from 1 species